GGCUGGAGUCCCAGGGAGAUGGCGGAAAUCGGAGCUAGCACUCUCCUGCCUCUUUCGCUGGUCUGGGGCUAAGCUAGGGAAUUGAGAUAGGACUAGCUGCUCCCUUUUUCGGGAAUGGAACCGUGUAGGUGUUCUCUGGUUAUAUGGAACUUU